rnacentral:rRNA from 1 species
GAGUUUGAUCGUGGCUCAGAUUGAACGCUGGCGGCAGGCCUAACACAUGCAAGUCGAGCGGUAGAGAGAAGCUUGCUUCUCUUGAGAGCGGCGGACGGGUGAGUAAUGCCUAGGAAUCUGCCUGGUAGUGGGGGAUAACGCUCGGAAACGGACGCUAAUACCGCAUACGUCCUACGGGAGAAAGCAGGGGACCUUCGGGCCUUGCGCUAUCAGAUGAGCCUAGGUCGGAUUAGCUAGUUGGUGAGGUAAUGGCUCACCAAGGCGACGAUCCGUAACUGGUCUGAGAGGAUGAUCAGUCACACUGGAACUGAGACACGGUCCAGACUCCUACGGGAGGCAGCAGUGGGGAAUAUUGGACAAUGGGCGAAAGCCUGAUCCAGCCAUGCCGCGUGUG